rnacentral:rRNA from 1 species
AGCGAAGUCGCGAGGCGGAGCAAAUCUCAAAAACCGGUCCCAGUUCGGACUGCAGGCUGCAACCCGCCUGCACGAAGCCGGAGUUGCUAGUAAUCGCGAAUCAGAAUGUCGCGGUGAAUCGCGUCCCCGGGUCUUGUACACACCGCCCGUCACACCAUGGAAGUUUGGGGGGUCGCCCCAAAAGCCGGCAAGCAAAUAUGCUGUCUAAGGCAAAACCAAUGACUGGGGUGAAGUCGUAACAAGGUACC